rnacentral:rRNA from 1 species
GACAGAGGGGGCAAGCGUUGCUCGGAAUUACUGGGCGUAAAGGGCGCGUAGGCGGGAUGGCAAGUCGGUCGUGAAAUCUCUCGGCUCAACCGAGGAACGUCGAUCGAUACUGCUGUUCUUGAGGAUUGCAGAGGAGACUGGAAUUCCCGGUGUAGCGGUGAAAUGUGUAGAGAUCGGGAGGAACACCGGUGGCGAAGGCGGGUCUCUGGGACCGUACUGACGCUGAGACGCGAAAGCGUGGGAGCGAACAGG